CCUACUUUGCACUAAUAGGAAAUGAGUCCUAGAUUUGAAAUAGUUUUUAAAUAAAUCUUCCAGUACCAAAAAGCAAACAGAAGGAAAAAAAUGUCUGUUUCUCUGCAAAACACUUGCUUUGAACCGGGCUGUAAGCUAGUGAUAGGGCAUCCGGAGCUCUGGGGCUCCCUCCGAUUCAACCCUUGUGGUAAGCAGCCAUUGUUCAGCUCUUUCUUUUGUCUUUGUUUUUAAUAUUUGAGUACCCCUAGUUGAAGCAGUGUCUCCUGUUUGUGAAGCUGUGCACUAUGGAUCCGUUUGCACUAACCACCAUACAUUUUUGUGUGUUGCGUUUUCCUCUUGUAACAUUUAGCUCGGGUUUGUGGAGUCCCGUCAGCAACCCAAGCAGCCCUGACUUCACUCCCCUCAAUUCGUUCUCCGCCUUUGGAAACUCUUUUAAUCUAACUGGUGAAGUUUUCAGCAAACUCGGAUUAUCUCGAUCGUGCAAUCAGGCCUCACAGAGGAGCUGGAACGAGUUUAACAGUGGCCCUUCAUACCUUUGGGACUCGCCAGCGACAGAUCCCAGUCCUUCCUGGCCAGCCAGUUCUGGCUCCCCGACCCACACAGCC
rnacentral:sRNA from 1 species